CAGUCGCGCGCCGGCCGCCGACGGGGUAACAACGCGUUUGUAAGCAGAGCGGAUACGAAACGCUGCGGCGAUGGCGCGAUGAAGACGUGCGGGCGCGCGGCGUUUUGCUGGGCCCUGUUGUGCCUCGCCGCUUGCGCUGCAGCUGCGCCCCGCCGCUUCUACUGCGAGCGCUCGGACGUCGCCUGGCGAGCGUACCAGGCCCCUGCAGCCUUCGAGGCACGCGUCCAGUCCCUCGGCAAAGACAGCGCCACCGUCAAAGUCAAGCGCGUCCUCCACCCCCAGGGGAACUGGCCACAGGACGGCACCGUCUUCAGCCUCAAGCUGCCGCCACAGGACCCGCACGAGUGUUCAGGACGUUUCGAAGUGCCGUUGAUAAUCCGACGUAACUAUAUCGUGUUCGCGGAAAGGCGAGAUCACGCGGCCGUCGCAUUGGGACCGCCGCUACAGAGGACUGGAAAGUUGCUAAGGAGGAUCAAUGCGGUCUACAAGCCUGAUUACAGUAGAUCAGCAAAAGUGGAGCCAAUGCAGUCGGUGCGGACAACAGAGGGCUCGAAGGUGAAGCUGGAGUGCAACGCGAGCGGGCGACCACCGCCGCGCAUCACCUGGUACAAAGACGGGAAACCGGUAGCCGAUAUUGCAUUAAGAAGAUUCCGGGUGCAGAAUUUCAGAAGGCGCUCGGUUUUAGUUAUAAGGCACGCCAAGCGCGAAGACUCAGCUACAUAUGAGUGUAGAGCGCAGGGCGCGGUGGGCCAGCCGGCCAUCGCUAAAGCGACAGUCAGCGUGCUGCCUCCAGUCGCGGCACCACCUGACACAACGACUUCGGGCGCGCCGUGUCCGACAGCCGACCCAGCGUACCCCUACUGCCUCAACGGGGGAACAUGUUUAUUCUUCGAGCAAGUUCAAGAGCAGGCUUGCAAAUGUCCAGAAGGGUUCAACGGCCAGCGCUGCGAGAACAAGGACGUAUCGAAUAGAAGCAGUAGGUAUCACUAUCCCUACUUAUGCAAACUGGGGCUUUCGACGUCCUACUACUGUUAGCCAGCGAUGCGCCGGCGCACUACCCACCUCGUUCCAAUUUUAAAUUUUAGCUCGCAACGUUCCGAGGGCGAUCCACUGUGGACUGUUUGCAUUUUAUCCGUUUUUUUUUUUAAUAUUAUCUUGUAAAUAAAUUAGUUAAUCUAAUUAUUAUAGCAUUUUGGAGUUGUAGUAUCGCAUGUCUGUGGAUCUACAACUGCGAUUUGUUAGGAUGCCUAUUAUUAAUUAAUCUUAGUAGAGGCCAGCUGUUUCUUUCUUCAUUUUUUCCUUUUUUUUUUUUAAGAGAAUCUCGUAUAUCUCACUGUAACUGCGAGAAGACACGAUGAUUCUAUCGAGACGUUGUUCACUUUUGUUGACUUGUUGAUGCAUUUCUUUUUUCUUUGAUCCUAUGUAAGCGAUGCUGGCCAGUGAGAUUUUAUUUUUAAGUCGUGAUUUACUUUUACGAUAUUAACAGUUCCGAUAUUUUAAUUAUUACUUCUAAUUGCUAUAACAGAACUGAAAUUCACAUGACAUUUAAUAAUCUAGUGUAACGAAUUGUGCCGAUACAAAAAAAAAAUGGUGAUAAUCGAGUUAAAAUGUUUCCAUUUUCAUUUAGCCUAUUAUAAUUUUAAUUAAAACACGCUAUAACGAUUUUAUAUUACAAUAAUCACGUUGUUUUCUUUAAAUAUAUACCUACUUAUUAUUGAAGUUGUACAUAUUUUACACAUAUUUGUAAUAUUGCGAUUAUAUUGUAUUUUUAUAAUUAACUAUUAAGGUUUUAUAACUUCUAGUAAUGUAAUGUUCAGAUGAAGAGACUUGCACUUAAUGUACAUAUAUGUUAGAAUAAGAUUUUUAUUAUUAAAAUAAUAGAAACUAGAAACCCAGCCCAUUGUGUGCGUAUAGUUUGAACAAAGUUAUAUUAAGUACUUAUACACUAUUUAAGUUUUCAUUAAAAAACAGCAUAGCUAUUUUGUUGAUAAAUUCCUUUUUGAAUUUAAAAAAAUUGAGAUACAAUUGCUUGCUGUUUCCAUGUUUAAAAUCAUUAUUACACUGUCAAAUAUAUAAUGAUACUAGUAAGUGAUUUGAUACACUGAGUCGAUUCUGAGACGCUAUUCUCUGAAUCUAUCUUUAAAUUUAAUAUGAUAGUUUCACCUAAAUAUUAUCUUAUGGGCCUUAAUAAACUAAGUUUAUAAUAAUUAUUUAUUUAUUUCAUCAACUGGGUAAGUUUUACAGUCUCCCAAUGCGCUUACUCAGGAAAGCAUCACAUAUGUAUAAUUAAAAGGAAUAAUAAUAAUAAUAUUUAAAUCCCAUAACAAUAAUAGAAAUAACAUCUAUAUCUUAAAUCUCUGAACACAAACACUCUGUGGUCAUACAAGUUGAAGGCGUUGUUCUAUCAGUCCUUAAAAUAUAGACUUCACUGUGAUAUCUAAUUUUAAUUUUAGAGAUGGGAUUACAAAAUGGCGUCUCGGGAACGAUCCUAACGUCUAUAUCAAUAAACUGUAGCAUAAACAUAAUCUAUGGUCCACAAAAAAAUAAUACGCUCCAUAGACUACGAAGUGUGUUUUUUUUUUCUAUCAUAUAUCUGACUAAGACAUUAAUGUUAUAAAAUAUAAAAAAAAGAUAAGAUAUUUAUGGUCAUUUAUAUAUUUGAGUGUAGUAAAGUCCUUGAUGUUUGUACAAGACAGUAGGCUGGGUCAUGAAAGGUCAACACUAAAAGAUUUAAUUUCCACAAUUUGGCGGCCCAAUAUACUCCACCUAGUCAGAAGGCAGUUUUAAUAUAGCUAGGUAGGUCUGAGUAAAUUAAUUUAUAUUAAACUUAUUAAUAAAGUAUGCGGUUAAUUGGUCGAAUGGUUGUGGAUAUAGCGAAUUUUUCUUUUUUGUUUUUUUUUUUUCUUCAUUGUACUAUAAUUAUAACUGUAUUAGUGAAAAAAAAAUCUUUCUAAUUCGCUAUUUGGGGCCCAACAUAUUAUGAAAAAUGUUUGUUAUUAAUAUUUCAGUUUGUAUAAAGGUCAUAGAAUAUGUAGUUUAAUAUUUAUAUAUAAUUUAGAGAAGGGAAUAUUUAUUUUAAAAGAACUUGAGGAUUUUAGGGCAUUACAUCAAAGGCGAAGUGACGUCAUAGCUUAGUUUUUUUUUUAUUUUUAAGAAACCAUAGUGCAGUUUCCGUUUAUUUAUUUGUAUGAUGUCAUUGUGCCUUCAACCUUUACUCUCACAACAAAUAUUAAGGUGCAAAACAUAAUAUGUCAAUGUAAUGGUUAUACCAAAUUACAAUUAAAGAAUGAGUGUUGGAAUUAACAGAGAGGCGAUAAUUUGUUUUGUUUUUCACAUAAUACACCUAAUUCCUUUGUAAUAGACGAAUGAUGAAAUUGGAUGGGCGGGACUUAUUUGAAAAUGGUAAAGGCGAACCGUUAUGGUGAUGAACGAUUGAAACGACCCGAUUAAUGCCGAUGGAAAUUUGCUAAUCUAAGAAAAAUUAAGCAUUCCUGCAUAAUUGUAAUCUUACUAGAGGCCUUCAUUUUUUGAAUAGCUUUCAAGUGUUAACGUAAAUGAUAAUUCGUAGAAAACAUACUAUUACCUACACACAGGGGCACGAUUUAUAACCGGCCAAAAUCAAAAAGUUCUUUCCUAAUAAAAUAAUAAAAUAAUACGUAAUCAUAAUGCUAAUGCAUAAUCGAGAAAUUUGGGAAAGAGAUAAUAAAUGUUCUCAUGUUAUUACCGUUGUACUUAACGUGAGACUCGAUAUGCAUACAUUUCAACGAGCAUAUUACGAUCCAAUAUACCAGUGUUUUCCAAACUUUUUCAUGGCGUGACCCCCUUUAUAUGUAAAAGUAUUUUGUGACCCACCUACGCUCCGCGGUUUCCAGCCUGUAUUGUACUUUAGUUUACAAAUAUCCAUACAUUUUUAUUUUCAUAAUUAAUUAUCAGUUAAAUACAAUAAAUAAAUAUUACAUAAUGAAGUCCCUAAAGUAGAUAUCGACUCGAUUAAGUUGUGAAACUUAUUUUUUACGGCUCCGUGACCUUCCGCGACCUUCUUGUAGAAGCUUGGGAACCCCUGGAAGGUCGCGACCAACACUUUGAAAACCCUACAAUAUAGCGAUAAAUAAUGUGUUCUCUUAUCUUAAACGACUACUAUUUAUAAUCUAUAUUUUUUCAUUUUCAACUCCUAAUAAUUAAGGUAUAAAGAUAUUUCAAGAGAAAUUGUUGGGUACUCCAACCAAAAAUAAUAAAAAAAAAUUGUUGGCCGGUUAAAUCUGCCCCGAAGUAGUAGGUAUCUUUUAUGACUGACUAUAGUGGGGAUAACAUGCACAAGCUUUAUGUCUUGGGUUAUCCCAACUGUAUAACCCCAAUAUUAAAAUCGUAGGAACUGUUACAUGUAAUAGUACGUAGAUACCUUGUCGCAUAAAAUAUCACAAGCUUCAUUUGAACUAUCAUCUGUGGAAGUAUCGAGAAUGUCAUAGGGGUCGAUUCUGAAGCGCCAAUUCUUUAGACCUAUUUCUAAAAUUAAAACUUUAACUUGUUGUCACAGGGAAAUUCUUAUUCUAAGAACCAAUAUAAACUCAAUUUUUAAUAAAUUUAAGUUCAAAUAAUUAUUUUAGUAUGUUUGAUAGUCCAUAGAACAAUAAUUAGGUGAAACUAUUAAAUUAAAAUUAUAGGUUAAAAGACAGGUUUAAGGAAAUGGUAGAAUCGACCCCAUAGUUACGAAAUACUUGUAUCUACAUAAAUAUAAUUCACAUAGAGGAAUCAGAAUUUACUUUUAUAAUGGACAAUAUAAAAAACAUUUUAAAUGUAAGUAUUCAAUAAUUACCGAUAUUUUUCAUAAAAGUUGGCAACACUGGUAUCUUAGAACAACAACUAUGCCCUACCAUGAAUUUUCACAUUCACAAAUAACAUGUUAGUAAUAUAAUUAAAUUAGCAAACAAAACAAUAAGUCGACAAUUGUCUCUGUCAUGAGUGAACAAACAUCACAGACUCGAUACGACUGGCGUCACAUCUGUAGAGUUAAAUUAGCUGAUCAAACUUAUGGUAGGGUUCUUAAGAGAUUUUAAAACAUACACAUUGACGUCAUUAGACCACUUGCACAGUGACCGAUUAUUAAAAAAUAAAAAUAUUCAUUAACAAAAUUAUUAAAUUUAUGUUAUAAUAAGCUCGGUUUAUUAUUAUAAGAUAAUAAAUACGAGAUUUGUCGCCUUGUAAAGCUUUAAACUAUGUAUACAUUGGUAGGUACAGUCAUGUAUGUAUGAUAUUAAGUGUAUAGAUUUUUUUAUGGAUGAUAAUGGAAUGGUAACCUCGCCUGCGCAAUCGGUAUACACUGGCGGAGCACAAGUGAGGGGUGAUUGGUGAGGAUGAAAAAGCAUGUCAGUUAGCCCAUCGUGACGAAUUCAACGAUAAAUUAGUCACAAGGGUUUCCAGGGGAAAUCGCGUGGAGGUCGACCUGAUAAGGUAUAUUGAUAGCGAUGGGGACUAACCUCCCCAUUACUAACACUCCCUUCCCCCUAGUAAGUGUAUAGAUUGUCUACGUUAACAUGACACGUCAAAAUUUUUACUUCAACGUGUGUGGUCAUAUAAUAAUUAGAGAUAAAGCUAAUGUAUUGGACAAGAAGAAAGAGCAGAUUUCUGCUGACGUCUUUGUGAAGUUUAAAUGUAAAAUGUAGAUAGUUAAUUCUAUAAUUUUAAUUGUAGUGUAGUAUAAAUAUAAAUCAAUUGUAAUUAAUUAUUUAAUUAUACACAGACGUGGUGCUCCGUUUGUGAUUAUGAGGAAACGUGUUCAUAGCGGUCCAGCCGAAAGUAUUAUAUUUCUUGAUCGAAACAAAUAUUUUUACUCGCUCACUUUAGAUUUUAGAGGGGCCUGCUACGAGUAUGUUAUCGUAGAUAAUCUAUAAACACAUUUAAAUUAAACGAGCCUAUUUUAUAAUACUAACUUGUAGAACAAAAUUUUGAAGUACUUCCUAUUAUAUUAUUAUGAUAAAGACAAUACAUGUUGUAUGUGACUGUACCUAUAUAAUUUUGAGUAGUAAACUUUGAAAGCCACUGGAAUAGAUAUAAAGUUCCUUGAAAAACAAUGGUGCUUAUUAUGAUUAGCUGAAAAAAAAAUAUAGCUGCUUAAUUUCGAUGUAAAUAUAUGAAUGCAAAAAUUAUUAGACGAGAAAUAAAGACGCCCUAAUAUUUCGAAUUAAAAUUUAUAUAGAAAAACAUUAAAAAUUAUGAAUUGCAUUAAGAGACGAACGAUUUUUAUGUAUAAUUCUAACAUAAACAGAAAAAUUAUAAUUACCGACUUUGAAAUAGUGGAUUUAAUUUUCUGACAAUGAUUUGUUAGACGCUGUCUUGCAAAUAGUUCGUAAAACCUCCAGAAUUUGGAGCGAAUUUAUGCAGAUAUUUUUUUUAAGAAAUCUCUUUUUUGAUAUACCUUAGAAGCAGGAAAAAAAAACAAAAGUGUACCAAAACUUACUAAUUCAUAAUGAUAGUUUGUUGUGGUCUCGAAUGUCUGUGAUUUUUUUUUUAUUUUCUAUUUUUAAGGUAUCUCAAUAAAAAAUAUAUUUUAUUAAAAAUAAAAUUAUUUUACAUACAAAAUUGUGUCCUCUUUGGAAAACUAAAACUAUAUUAAAGUUUACAAUUUGUACCGCUAUUUGACCGUCAUAAACGGUCACUAAAACUCGAUACUAAUAUUUUGGAAAAUGAUAUAAGAAUAAAUAGUAGAUACUUGUUAAAUUCAGUGGUCAAUGUUUGACAAAAAUCAAAACAGCCAGAUAAUGUAACAGAAGGGCAAGACAAUACACCAAUUUGAAAGCAUAUUUUUUUACUUCUUUGCCAAUUAAAUCCCAAAUGAAAUGACAACCAGUUUGAUUUUACAAAAUGAGGCUCUUAAUUAUUUGAAUAGAAUUAUCUACACGACUAUUAGGGUCUCGCCAACUGUCAAUGUCGAGAUGUUACACCCACACAAGAAUGCUCAAGAAAAAAAAAAGCGCUUGAAACAAGCAUUUAGUGCUUGCACAACCAAGGGACAGAUGCUACGAAAAUCUCAUAUUUUUCUAUUUAAGAUCUCGAAUAGGCGUCAGAGUUAAAAUGUUAAGUUGUAUUAACAGUUUUGUACAGUAUUAUUUGCUGAAUAGACGUUAUUUAUUGUAGCUUGUAAACGCUAUUUUGUAAGGGCUUUGUUAUAUAAUAAAUGAAUUGAAAUUCAA